GACGAACCGUGCGAACGUUGUUCGGAAUCACUGGGCUUAAAGGGCGCGUAGGCGGGUCUUCAAGUUUGGGGUGAAAUCCUCCGGCUCAACCGGAGAACUGCCUCGAAUACUGAAGGUCUCGAGGGGGAUAGGGGCAUGCGGAACUACGGGUGGAGCGGUGAAGUGCGUUGAUAUCCGUAGGAACUCCGGUGGCGAAGGCGGCGUGCUGGAUCCCUUCUGACGCUGAGGCGCGAAAGCCAGGGGAGCAAACGGG
rnacentral:rRNA from 1 species